GGACGAACGCUGGCGGCGUGCUUAACACAUGCAAGUCGAACGGAAAGGCCCUGCUUUUGUGGGGUGCUCGAGUGGCGAACGGGUGAGUAACACGUGAGUAACCUGCCCUUGACUUUGGGAUAACUUCAGGAAACUGGGGCUAAUACCGGAUAGGAGCUCCUGCUGCAUGGUGGGGGUUGGAAAGUUUCGGCGGUUGGGGAUGGACUCGCGGCUUAUCAGCUUGUUGGUGGGGUAGUGGCUUACCAAGGCUUUGACGGGUAGCCGGCCUGAGAGGGUGACCGGCCACAUUGGGACUGAGAUACGGCCCAGACUCCUACGGGAGGCAGCAGUGGGGAAUAUUGCACAAUGGGCGGAAGCCUGAUGCAGCAACGCCGCGUGCGGGAUGACGGCCUUCGGGUUGUAAACCGCUUUCGCCUGUGACGAAGCGUGAGUGGCGGUAAUGGGUAAAGAAGCACCGGCUAACUACGUG
rnacentral:rRNA from 1 species